AAAGGUGAAACCUAAUUGGCCUGAAGAAGAGCUUGCGUCUGAUUAGCUAGUUGGUGGGGUAAAGGCCUACCAAGGCGACGAUCAGUAGCUGGUCUGAGAGGAUGAGCAGCCACACUGGGACUGAGACACGGCCCAGACUCCUACGGGAGGCAGCAGUGGGGAAUUUUCCGCAAUGGGCGAAAGCCUGACGGAGCAACGCCGCGUGAGGGAGGAAGGUCUUUGGAUUGUAAACCUCUUUUCUCAAGGAAGAAGUUCUGACGGUACUUGAGGAAUCAGCCUCGGCUAACUCCGUGCCAGCAGCCGCGGUAAUACGGGGGAGGCAAGCGUUAUCCGGAAUUAUUGGGCGUAAAGCGUCCGCAGGUGGUCAGCCAAGUCUGCC
rnacentral:rRNA from 2 species